rnacentral:piRNA from 1 species
UCAUUUAUGGCUCGAAUAUAA